UACAGAGGUCCCAAGCGUUGUUCGGAUUCACUGGGCGUAAAGGGUGCGUAGGUGGUGAGGUAAGUCGGAUGUGAAAUCUCCGAGCUCAACUCGGAAACUGCAUUGGAAACUACCUUGCUCGAGGGUUGGAGGGGGGACUGGAAUGCUUGGUGUAGCAGUGAAAUGCGUAGAUAUCAAGCGGAACACCAGUGGCGAAGGCGAGUCCCUGGACAACUCCUGACACUGAUGCACGAAAGCCAGGGGAGCAAACGGG
rnacentral:rRNA from 1 species